rnacentral:rRNA from 1 species
UUUGGUCUGACGGUACCCACAAAGGAAGCACCGGCUAACUCCGUGCCAGCAGCCGCGGUAAUACUGAGGGUGCAAGCGUUGUUCGGAAUUAUUGGGCGUAAAGCGCGUGUAGGCGGUUUGUUAAGUCUGGUGUGAAAGCCCUGGGCUCAACCUGGGAAGUGCAUUGGAUACAGGCAAACUUGAGUACGGGAGAGGAUAGUGGAAUUUCGAGUGUAGGGGUGAAAUCCGUAGAUAUUCGAAGGAACACCGGUGGCGAAGGCGGCUAUCUGGACCGAUACUGACGCUGAGACGCGAAAGCGUGGGGAGCAAACAGGAUUAGA